rnacentral:rRNA from 1 species
ACGUGAGUAAUCUGCCCUUCACUUCGGGAUAACCGCCGGAAACGGUGGCUAAUACCGGAUACGACGCGCUUUCGCAUGAGAUGCGCGUGGAAAGUCUUAUCGGUGGAGGAUGUGCUCGCGGCCUAUCAGCUUGUUGGUGAGGUAACGGCUCACCAAGGCUUCGACGGGUAGCCGGCCUGAGAGGGUGACCGGCCACACUGGGACUGAGACACGGCCCAGACUCCUACGGGAGGCAGCAGUGGGGAAUAUUGGACAAUGGGCGAAAGCCUGAUCCAGCAACGCCGCGUGAGGGAUGACGGC